AAGCUCGUAGUUGAAUUUCGGGAUUGGCAUAUCGGUCGUGCCUUCGGGCACGUACUGGUAGUUGUUAAUCUCCACCUUCUAGUGAACUAUUAUGCCUUUUACUAGGUGUAAUAGGGAGCUAGGACUGUUACUUUGAAAAAAUUAGAGUGUUUAAAGCAGGCUUUAAGCUUGAAUAGAUUAGCAUGGAAUAACGAAAUAGGACGGCAUGAUUCUAUUUUGUUGGUUUCUAGGAUCACCGUAAUGAUUAUAGGGAUGGG
rnacentral:rRNA from 1 species